rnacentral:rRNA from 1 species
CGGAAUUGCUAGUAAUCNCGGAUCAGCAUGCCGCGGUGAAUACGUUCCCGGGCCUUGUACACACCGCCCGUCACACCAUGGGAGCCGGUAAUACCCGAAGUCAGUAGUCCAACCUCGUGAGGACGCUGCCGAAGGUAGGAUUGGCGACUGGGUGAAGUCGUAACAAGGUAAC